UACGGAGGGUGCAACCGUUGCUCGGAAUCAUUGGGCGUAAAGCGCACGUAGGCGGCCUGUUAAGUCGGGUGUGAAAGCCCUGGGCUCAACCCAGGAAGUGCACUCGAAACUGGCAGGCUUGAAUAUGGAAGAGGGUUGCGGAAUUCCCGGUGUAGAGGUGAAAUUCGUAGAUAUCGGGAGGAACACCAGUGGCGAAGGCGGCGACCUGGGCCAAUAUUGACGCUGAGGUGCGAAAGCGUGGGGAGCAAACAGG
rnacentral:rRNA from 1 species